GGGUGCGUGGCGCAAUGGCUAGCGUGUUUGGCUUCGAUGCUUAAUUACGUAAUCCAGACCAAAAGGCUGCAGGUUCGAGUCCUGCCGUGCUCA